UUUAGGUUAGGAGAGUAGAUGGCUAAUUGUGGCAGUUGAGGACCAGUUAACUGAGCUGUGGUACAUGCCACAGAGUCAGAGGAUGGGAGGAGCAACUUCAGGGGAAGGUGUAAGCUCCUCAAGGCUUGAAGUAGCCAGCUCCCCCUCCCCCCAGGACUUCCAAUGGCGGGGUUCCACCCAUGGAACACUCUAACUGCCCUAACGGCCAGCCCUUGCCCCUUCCCUAUAUAGUAAAAAGCCCAAGCUCUGGACUUGAAAUUCCACCAAUCUCCACCGUGGAAAUCUCCAUCCUGAAAAGCGCCCCCGCCCCCAACAACAUAUAAAGCUUGUCCUCUGCUCAGUUCUCUGAUGCUUCUUCCCCAAGCAGAGGUUGAUGGCACUCUGUCCUAGGUUCUGACUUUUUUGUUGUUUUAGUUUUUGUUUUUUGCCUGAACAUAAAAACAGGUUAUAAUUUAAAAGUCCAGCCGGGCGGCAGUGGUGCACACCUUUAAUCCCAGCACUCUGGAGGCAGAGGCAGGUGGAUCUCUGUGAGUUUGAGGCCAGCCUGGUCUCCAAAGUGAGUUCCAGGAAAGGUGCUAAGCUACACAGAGAAACCCUGUCUUGAAAAAACAAAAACAAACAAACAAAACAAAACAAAACAAAAAAAGUCCAGGGUUAUUUUAAACAGUAAAUUAUUUUCUCUGUAGAAAAUAGUAUAGAUAACAUUUCCCAAUAAGCCCUUAUAAGCCAAAUGAUAGCUGAAUUAUACAUAUAAAUAUUGAUUAGAUUCUGGGAUUCAGGAGACCUAUCUUCAUCUGUUCAGAGUGCUAUGUUUGGGCGGCAGUGGCACACACCCCAGCACUGGGGAGGCAGAGCCAGGUGGAUCUCUGUGAGUUCGAGGCCAGCCUGGUCUACAGCAUGAGAUCCAGGACAGGCACCAAAACUACACUGAGAAACUCAGUCUCAAAAAACAAACAACAAAAAAGAAAAAAAAAGAAAGAAAAAAGAAAGUGAACUACAUUUUACUUAAGUUGUGUGAGAUUUCUAUUCAUCUUCCCCUUCACUGUUUGAUUUACAGCAGACAUUUUUCUAUAGUCUAAUCCAUAAUUAUUGUUUUUUUCUUACAUGAGACAUGGUUUUACUCUGUAGCUCAGGCUGCCUUCAAAUUCACAAUCCUCCUACCUCAGUCUUCCAAGUUCUGAGGUAUGUACCAUUGUAUCUAGCAGCCUUCUCUUUCUUUCUUCCAUCCUUCUUUCUCUCUUUUUUGAAAAGAUUUAUUCUUUUAUUUUAUGUAUAUGAGUGCUUAUCUGCACGUAUGCCUUUAUGCCAGAAGAGGGCAUCAGAUCCCACUAGAGAUGGUUGCUGGGAAUUGAACUCAUGACCUCUGGAAGAACAGCCAGUGCUCUUAACUGAUGAGUCAUCUCUCCAGACCCUCUUUUAAAAACAAAAACAAAAAACAAACAAACAAACAAAAAAACAGGGUUUCACUGUUUAGUUUUGGGUGGCUUUGAACUUACAAAUGUGCACCUGCCUCCUGAGUGCUGGGAUUAAAGGUGUGCACCACUACUGCCUGGCCCACUGUGCUAUUUUUAUGAGACAGUCUUCAGAGGCUUGUUUGGGUAUAGUUUUUUGAAAAAAAAAUUUUCUAUGUUGGGGCACAAACCCAGGACCUUGGACAGACUAGGCAAACUACCAUUGAGCUAUGUUCUCAGCCUAGGAUUGUAAAAUGAACUACAUUCUCACUUCCAGUUGCAAAAAUGAGAUGAGAUGCCUCUGGUCUGUCAGAAGGUGGGUUGACCUAAGUGAAAGCUAGCCACCCAUCUCUCUUCUCACACAAUUUGCAUCUUCCAAGGACUGUGUGAGUUCACAGUUGGAGCAGGGUAAAGAACCCUGAGUGCUUGACAAGAUAGAUGUGUCUCUAGUCACAAGAGGGAGUGAAGGCUUGGUGAGUGGGAGCUGGAGGCAGGAGUAACACCAGGGUUAGCAUAGUGCUACGCAACUCUUCUGUUUAUUUUUUGUAGACAGUUUCUCUGUUUAACAACUCUGGCUGUCCUGGAACUCACUCUGUAGACCAGACUGGCCCUGAACUCACAGAGAUCUGCCUGUUUCUACCUCCAGAGUGCUGGAAUUAAAAGAGUGCACCACCAUUGC